GUGCCAGCCGCCGCGGUAAUACGGAGGGUCCAAGCGUUAUCCGGAUUUAUUGGGUUUAAAGGGUACGUAGGCGGAGCUUUAAGUCAGUAGUGAAAGCCCAUUGCUUAACAAUGGAACUGCUAUUGAUACUGGAGUUCUUGGAUAUAGUUGAAGUAGGCGGAAUACGGCAUGUAGCGGUGAAAUGCAUAGAUAUGCCGUGGAACACCAAUCGCGAAGGCAGCUUACUAAGCUAUGAUUGACGCUAAUGUACGAAAGCGUGGGGAGCGAACAGGAUUAGAAACCCGAGUAGUCC
rnacentral:rRNA from 1 species